rnacentral:rRNA from 1 species
UACGAAGGGGGCUAGCGUUGCUCGGAAUCACUGGGCGUAAAGCGCACGUAGGCGGAUCUUUAAGUCAGGGGUGAAAUCCUGGAGCUCAACUCCAGAACUGCCUUUGAUACUGCAAAUCUCGAGUCCGGAAGAGGUGAGUGGAAUUCCUAGUGUAGAGGUGAAAUUCGUAGAUAUUAGGAAGAACACCCGUGGCGAAGUCGGCUCUCUGGGACGGUACUGACGCUGAGACGCGAAAGCGUGGGGAGCGAACAGG